GCCAGCCUGGUAUAGUGGUUUGAGCAUUGGACUAUGACUCUGGAGUCCAGGGCUCAAAUCCCCACUCUGUCA
rnacentral:tRNA from 1 species